CCAGCCGUGGGCCAGUGGUAGGCCACCUCAUUUGGGAUGAGGGGGACGGGGGUUCGAGUCCCUCCGGCUGGACCA
rnacentral:tRNA from 1 species